rnacentral:rRNA from 1 species
AGCGAACGCUGGCGGCAGGCCUAACACAUGCAAGUCGAACGAACCCUUCGGGGUUAGUGGCGGACGGGUGAGUAACACGUGGGAACGUUCCUUUAGGUUCGGAAUAACUCAGGGAAACUUGUGCUAAUACCGAAUGUGCCCUUCGGGGGCAAGAUUUAUCGCCUUUAGAGCGGCCCGCGUCUUAUUAGCUAGUUGGUGAGGUAAUGGCUCACCAAGGCUACGAUCAGUAGCUGGUCUGAGAGGAUGACCAGCCACAUUGGGACUGAGACACGGCCCAAACUCCUACGGGAGGCAGCAGUGGGGAAUCUUGCGCAAUGGGCGAAAGCAUGAAGCAGCCAGGCCGCGUGGAUGAUGAAGGUCUUAGGAUUGUAAAAUCCUUUCACCGGUGAAGAUAAUGACUGUAGCCGGAGAAGAAGCCCCGGCUAACUUCGUGCCAGCCGCCGCAGUAAUAC